UAGACAUUGAGUAGAUGGCGCAUGAGAUUCGGAGGAGGAAGGAGCCCACACCACUUCCAGAGACAGAAAUUCCGUUGGCAAGGGCGCGGCGUCGAGUGAAGUGAUGACCGACGAUAACAACACUAGAAAAUGCUGUGGUAGCAGAAAGACCGACCUGUGACGGUGCUGUAGGUGAAGUAAAGCCAAGGGAAGGAGGGGACAAAAGCGGUGGUGAUGAAUCCCACCCCCAUCAACAACCCUCCCGCGAAGACCACGGCGCGGCAUGAGAAACGCACGCUGAGGGCAUUGCUGAUUGGUCCUGUGGGCGGAGACAUUGUCAAAACAAAUCAUUUUUACAUAGUGCUAGCUUUGCUUUCAACAGAAGCAAAGGAUUACUUGCUAUGACAAGACAAGCGACAAAAGAAGAGAAGAGCCUACCCAAGGCCAUCAUGAUGACAGAGGCCAGACCGUGCACCGCCCCUAGUUGUUUCGCCGACACGCCGAAGAUGUUCUGGAGC